GACGAACGCUGGCGGCGUGCUUAACACAUGCAAGUCGAACGGAAAGGCCCUGCUUUUGUGGGGUGCUCGAGUGGCGAACGGGUGAGUAACACGUGAGUAACCUGCCCUUGACUUUGGGAUAACUUCAGGAAACUGGGGCUAAUACCGGAUAGGAGCUCCUGCUGCAUGGUGGGGGUUGGAAAGUUUCGGCGGUUGGGGAUGGACUCGCGGCUUAUCAGCUUGUUGGUGGGGUAGUGGCUUACCAAGGCUUUGACGGGUAGCCGGCCUGAGAGGGUGACCGGCCACAUUGGGACUGGGAUACGGCCCAGACUCCUACGGGAGGCAGCAGUGGGGAAUAUUGCACAAUGGGCGGAAGCCUGAUGCAGCAACGCCGCGUGCGGGAUGACGGCCUUCGGGUUGUAAACCGCUUUCGCCUGUGACGAAGCGUGAGUGACGGUAAUGGGUAAAGAAGCACCGGCUAACUACGU
rnacentral:rRNA from 1 species